AGUGUUUCUUUUCAUCAGAAAUUCUGAAAAACAUAAACCAUGUGUCAGCUUAUGAUUUUUGGCAGUGACUAUUGCUACAUUGAAAGAUCUUGGAUUCUUAUGGUUUAGAGAAUUUUAUGUCAUUCAGUGACAAGUCCAUCAAAGCUGAGUUAUGCACCAUUCAACAUGAAACUAGCCAACAAAAGAGCAAUACUUCAAGUGGGAUAUUGGUUUCAACGGUCCAAUUUUUCAAGCCAAGGUUGUUAUUUUCCAAGGCUUCGCUUACAUAAAAUGGUCACCGUAAGCAACGUGUUAAGAAUAUCACAUUACUAAUAUUAUGGCUUCCCUCGAAACUUGUUAAGAAUGGUGUGUUUGUAAGCAACGUGUUUUUGUGAAUGGUGUGUUAGAAUGUAAGCAACGUGUUUUUGUAAACUAUGUAAUUACUUGCUCUUCAAUUCUGAUUAAACAAAAACAGUUUUUUAAGAAUUCAGUCCACAAAUAUGUAA